CCUACGGGAGGCAGCAGUGGGGAAUAUUGGACAAUGGGCGCAAGCCUGAUCCAGCCAUGCCGCGUGAGUGAUGAAGGCCUUAGGGUUGUAAAGCUCUUUUGUCCGGGACGAUAAUGACGGUACCGGAAGAAUAAGCCCCGGCUAACUUCGUGCCAGCAGCCGCGGUAAUACGAAGGGGGCUAGCGUUGCUCGGAAUCACUGGGCGUAAAGGGCGCGUAGGCGGCCAUUCAAGUCGGGGGUGAAAGCCUGUGGCUCAACCACAGAAUUGCCUUCGAUACUGUUUGGCUUGAGUAUGGUAGAGGUUGGUGGAACUGCGAGUGUAGAGGUGAAAUUCGUAGAUAUUCGCAAGAACACCGGUGGCGAAGGCGGCCAACUGGACCAUUACUGACGCUGAGGCGCG
rnacentral:rRNA from 1 species